CUCAGAAGCUGUGGAAGUGAAUAGAUGAAGUAUCGCCAACAGAUGGGCUUGCGGCUGAUUAGCUAGUUGGUGAGGUAAUGGCUUACCAAGGACAAUGAUCAGUAUCUGGUCUGAGAGGAUGAUCAUCCACACUGGGACUGAGACACAGCCCAGACUCCUACGGUAGGCAGCAGUGAGGAAUUUUCCGCAAUGGGCGAGAGCCUGACCGAGCAAUGCCGCGUGAAGGAUGAAGGCCUGUGGGUUGUAAACUUCUUUUCUCAUAGAACAAAAAUUGACGGUAUCUGAGGAAUAAUCAUCGGCUAACUCUGUGCCAGCCGCCUCGGUAAGACAGAGGAUGCAAUCGUUAUCCGGAAUGAUUGGGCGUAAAUCGUCUGUAGGUGGUUUGACAAGUCUCCUGUCAAAGAUCAGGGCUUAACCCUGGGCCGGCAGGAAAAACUAUCAGGCUAGAGUUCGGUAGGGGCAGAGGGAAUUCCCGGUGGAGCGGUGAAAUGCGUAGAUAUCGGGAGGAACACCAAAGGCGAAAGCACUCUGCUGGGCCGAUUUUUUUUGUUUUUUUUUGUUUUUUGAAUCCGUUCAUCAAACCUAAAACAGUUCAAAAAAAGUACUGACUCUGAGAGACGAAUGCGAGGGGAGCAAAUGGAAUUACAUACCCCAGUAGUUCAAAUUCGAUAAUCUCAGGAGGAACGCCGAAAGCGAAGGCAAUUUUCUAGUACUUUACUGACGU
rnacentral:rRNA from 1 species